AAUGCUUUUGUCUGUGAUCUACCCUGCCUCAUAAAUUCCUGUUCUAUAUUGCUAAGACAGUAAAAGACCUUCUAUGGCAUUUUGUUUUCAUGUCACGGUUGAGAAAUCAAUAAAUUUUUAAUCGCAUUUGAACUGGGUAUAAAAAUAAAAAAUAAAGAUUAAUGUACAAUUUAAGCUGUUUAAAUGUAUAGUUGUCAAAUGUUCCACCGUGGUCUUCUGAGAAUAAUCAGGUUAUCCCCAUAUAAACACAUGCACAUUUAGUCUUCAAGUUAUGCUCAAAAGGGUCUUAAAUAGUGUCCUUGGUUGCCAACACAUGUAUGUGCUGUUCCAACAAGAGGUUCCAGCUCUGAAGAAGCAUCUUAAGUUUUAAUUUGUGUUUAAAUACUUUACCGAGUCAGGGCCUAGUGUUGCAGCUCAGCGUUAUUAAUUUCUGUUCAUCUAUAUAGCUAUUUAAAUAGAUUAAGAGUUGGAGGGAAAAACAAUCCAACAAACAAACAAGCAAAAAACUCCAAACAAAUCCAGAGGGUUGCAUGGCUUAACCAGUCAGAAAAAACAACGGGAAAGUGAAAUGUGUCAUGGUUGGUGUAUAUGAACUACUAUGCUCCAUGGGAGGUGUGGGACUCAGUACCAUUACUGGUAUGAUAAAAACAAAAUAUCCUCCUCUGUUUAUUUUUAAAAUGGAUUAGAAACAGAUUAUGAAAAGUAUUUUAUGACAUGGUUGCCUGUGAUAAGAAGGAACUGGAUUCAGUAGCCUCAGAGGUCUUUUCUAUUGUUGUGUUCCUAGGGAGGAAAUUUGUUGCAGAGCCAACCAUCCUGCCUCCUUGUUCUUGUCUGCCUUAGUAGAUCUGACUGGAAAAAAAAGAAGUGAAAAUGAGCUUCUAUUUGUUUUGCCACUGGAUUUGUUGAAGUCUGUUUGGGAAGAUAGUGAAGCUAAUCUCACUAAUGGACUCAUAAAUGCUGCCCAGUUUGGAAGAAGCAGAAGUGAAAAAAUAAGAGCCACUGGCUAUCUGUCAGAGUGGUUACGGUGCUAA
rnacentral:lncRNA from 1 species